UCUCCAAUAUUUAUUUUGACUUCUCUCUUUCCCUUGUUUCAAUCCAAGUACAUGAAAUUUGCAAAAAAAUCCAUUUUUGUUCCUCCUCCAUACGUGUAAGUUGAGAAAUUUCUUGAGUGACAAAUGUUCAAGAUUUUCUUCUCUUUUUAUGACUCAUCUAUGUCAAAAUCUCUAUAAAUAGCCACCCAAAACCCCAUUUUUAUGCAAGAUAACUCAAUUAAUCUUUCUGAUUACCUUCCCAAUUUUAAUUGCUUCCCCUCUUUGUUUAUCUCCUUGUUUUAAAGUAACCAUUAAUGGUCAUCUUUUUCUCUCUCCUCCGCUUGACCACCGAAUUCUGGUGUCUUCUUUUUAUUUUCCUCCACCUCUUUUCGCCUCAAAAACCACCGCACAUAAUCGGUGCUCCGCCAGAGGAUGGUGCAUCCGAGAUUUCUGUAUUGUCGUCAAGCCUUCAGCAUUCCAUCUCUCUGUUCUUCGUUGAUAUGAAUAUGCUACUGCCUUUUUGUUUCCUCUUUUUAUGGCAAAUUAUCUCAAAGGGGGGUUGGUACUUGGUAGUGGGCUGUGAGGUUAAACUAAGGAGGAUUUAUUAUGGGCUUUGACCGAAAAAUAUGAAGAAAGAUACGUGAGCAUUCUAAAUGGUUAUUGCAAAUGGAGAUUCCUUUGGAGUGUCAAGUUUAUGUACAUAUUCCAAUUAAUGGAGAAAAUUGAUUAAGGUUAAUCGAUGGAGGUACGAUUAAGGAGGUCAAGUUGCUCAAAGAAAAGUUAUUACUGGAGUUGGUAUUUUAUUAUGGAGAUACGAUAUCGAGCUGAGAGAUUAUUUAUUAUGAAAAUUCGGUUAUUGAGAUUAUUAUGAGAAUAUUGAAUUAUAUUUAUUUUGGGAUUAUUGUAUUAUUUAAGGCAUGUUAUUAGAGGAUUAUUUUAUCUGUGGGCCUAUACCCACAGGUCCCAGGAUUAAUUAAGCCUAAUUCUGCUGCUAAUGAUCAGUUAAGUGUGAUUUAUUACCGAUAAUUAAGGUACCGAAAAGUCGGGGCGUUACAAAUACCAACCAAAUAUACAACUUCAAACCACUCUUCGAGAAUUGGAGGUGCUUAGGCAAGGACACCAAGAGGGUUUCACCAAUUACCUCAAUCGAUGGAGGGAAAUGGCAUCCCAAAUGGUAACCCGCCCCUCUUAGAGAGAACUAGUCAAGAUCUUCAUCGCCGGACACCUACCAAAAUACAACACUUAUAAGAAGUAUCUGGGCCUAGAAAGCUUCAAAAGGACCUAUGAUAUUGGGGUUGAAAUCGAAGAUGACCUCAUGAAAGCCCCAGCUCCUCAAAAUGAGAAAUGGAAGGGCAAGAAGGCCGAGACCACAACCAAGGUUCACGAAGUUAAUGCUUUAGAAGCACCUCAAGGACAAGUUCAAAAGGGCAGAAAUUUCAAGAACAACCAGCGUAACUUUCCAAAUUGGCCUCAAAGAGUCUUUACUAACCUGGGCAUGUCUUACUCGGAUGCCUUUGACCGGUUGGUAGAGAAGCAGCUAAUCACUCCUAUUGGUCCAACCGAGGAUCCUCUAGCUGACAAAAGGUCCAAAAGUUGGGACCCGAGUGCCUACCACUAGGGAAACGAGCACGACAUCGAGAAUUGCUUCAAGCUCAAGCACCUGAUUCAAAACAUGGUUGACAACAAAACUUUUCCUUUGCCCUAGGGAGCCAAGCAGUCACCAUCAGUACAAGCCAUCUCUCAAGACUACGGGGAUGAGGAAAAUGAUUUUCCGUGUAACCUGACUGAUACAAUGUACACACCUUAUUUUGAGUUGGUAGUCCCAAGAUUCCACCAUCUCAUCCCGCAGAUUCAAGACUAGGUAAUCCCUAAACCCCGGGUAACCACUGCCAUUCAAGUAAACAUCUACCCCCUGACAACUCUCAAAGCCUUGGGAUUCACUGAAUACGGCCUGAUGCUGACUAUGGAGCGGGCAAUCAAAUUUUGUGGCAUCACAUACAAAAUCCUGGGGAUCCUCAAGUUGGUCUUCUCCUUCGAAACUUACUACAACAAUGCUGAGUACUUAGUCAAUGAUAUACCAACCGACUAUGAUCUCCUGUUCGGGGAACCUUGGUUUGAGGAACUGCUAGAUGGUCCUGCCUGUCUCACACCCAAGGGCUCUAACUACAAAAGCGCCUCCAUCAAAAAGACAUUGGCAUUGCGCCAAGGAAGAGAUGAGCCUAUUCAUGAGUACUACUACAGGUGGAGGACAUCUGCCCGCGAGAUUCUACCUGACCUGCCAGAGGGGAAGUUGGUAAGGAUGUUUCUCGUAAGCCUCAACGAUCUAUGCAAGAGCCUCUUUGCUGCAUUUCCAUACAGUACCUAGAAUCAAGUCUGGGAUCAAGCUUCAAGAAUAUAUGGCCACGACCUUCCCUACGAUGAUGAUGAUGAGGACGUUUGGGAGUACCCUGAGAACUACUUCUAUGAUUAGUUUCUUAUGUUUCAUGUCCAGAGUCUGUCAUUCAAUUUCCGAGUCUAGUGAUGAGUCUAAGAGUCUAGGGCUAGAGUCUUGCAUUAAUCAAAUGCCCUUAAAAGGCCGAACUUCAAGUUAAAGUUGUCGAUGUAAUGAUUGUUAAUUUCAAUAAUACUUCAAUUUAAUCCUACUCUUCAAGUCC